UCCUAAUACAUGCAAGUCGAGCGAGCUUGCCUAGAUGAAUUUGGUGCUUGCACCANAUGAAACUAGAUACAAGCGAGCGGCGGACGGGUGAGUAACACGUGGGUAACCUGCCCAAGAGACUGGGAUAACACCUGGAAACAGAUGCUAAUACCGGAUAACAACACUAGACGCAUGUCUAGAGUUUAAAAGAUGGUUCUGCUAUCACUCUUGGAUGGACCUGCGGUGCAUUAGCUAGUUGGUAAGGCAANGGCUUACCAAGGCAAUGAUGCAUAGCCGAGUUGAGAGACUGAUCGGCCACAUUGGGACUGAGACACGGCCCAAACUCCUACGGGAGGCAGCAGUAGGGAAUCUUCCACAAUGGACGCAAGUCUGAUGGAGCAACGCCGCGUGAGUGAAGAAGGGUUUCGGCUCGUAAAGCUCUGUUGGUAGUGAAGAAAGAUAGAGGUAGUAACUGGCCUUUAUUUGACGGUAAUUACUUAGAAAGUCACGGCUAACUACGUGCCAGCAGCCGCGGUAAUACGUAGGUGGCAAGCGUUGUCCGGAUUUAUUGGGCGUAAAGCGAGUGCAGGCGGUUCAAUAAGUCUGAUGUGAAAGCCUUCGGCUCAACCGGAGAAU
rnacentral:rRNA from 1 species